rnacentral:rRNA from 1 species
CGGGUGGUAAUGCCGGAUGCUCCAGUUGAUCGCAUGGUCUUCUGGGAAAGCUUUCGCGGUAUGGGAUGGGGUCGCGUCCUAUCAGCUUGACGGCGGGGUAACGGCCCACCGUGGCUUCGACGGGUAGCCGGCCUGAGAGGGCGACCGGCCACAUUGGGACUGAGAUACGGCCCAGACUCCUACGGGAGGCAGCAGUGGGGAAUAUUGCACAAUGGGCGCAAGCCUGAUGCAGCGACGCCGCGUGAGGGAUGGAGGCCUUCGGGUUGUAAACCUCUUUUAUCGGGGAGCAAGCGAGAGUGAGUUUACCCGUUGAAUAAGCACCGGCUAACUACGUGCCAGCAGCCGCGGUAAUACGUAGGGUGCAAGCGUUAUCCGGAAUUAUUGGGCGUAAAGGGCUCGUAGGCGGUUCGUCGCGUCCGGUGUGAAAGUCCAUCGCUUAACGGUGGAUCCGCGCCGGGUACGGGCGGGCUUGAGUGCGGUAGGGGAGACUGGAAUUC